rnacentral:misc_RNA from 1 species
CAACCCUCAAAACCUCGGUUUUGGUGUUGGAGGAAUACCUGUAAAAGGGUACCCUCUGAAAUUUAGUGGCGGGCUCGCUAGAAUUUUGAGCGUAGUAAUUUUAUACCUCGUUUGUAAAGUCUAGUGGGUUUCUUGCCGUAAAACCCCCCAACUUUCUGAA